rfam:Mastigocoleus testarum BC008 Contig-2, whole genome shotgun sequence.
GCCGAUGUAGCUCAGUGGUAGAGCACACCCUUGGUAAGGGUGAGGUCACGAGUUCAAAUCUCGUCAUCGGCU